GUGUUAGGACACUAACACAUGCACCUAAAUGAGAAUGAUACAGAGUAGAUUAGCAUGGUCACUUGCAUAAAGAUGGAAUGCAAUAAUUGUGAAGCAUUCCUAAAUGGA
ensembl:snRNA U6 U6 spliceosomal RNA